UACGUAGGGUGCAAGCGUUAUCCGGAAUUAUUGGGCGUAAAGAGCUCGUAGGCGGUUUGUCGCGUCUGCUGUGAAAACUGGAGGCUCAACCUCCAGCCUGCAGUGGGUACGGGCAGACUAGAGUGCGGUAGGGGAGAUUGGAAUUCCUGGUGUAGCGGUGGAAUGCGCAGAUAUCAGGAGGAACACCGAUGGCGAAGGCGGCUAUCUGGACCGACAUUGACGCUGAGGCGCGAAAGCGUGGGGAGCAAACAGG
rnacentral:rRNA from 1 species